CAACUCGAUCCGCUCAGCGUUCUAUUGGAAUGCAACGGACGUGAUUGCAAGCUUUUGUUUUGAGUUGCGGUUUUACUGAAAGACUCUACAAUCCGCAAACUUCAAUGAUCUGAAGUAGAAAACCUACAUGCUACAGUGAGAUAUUGUGGAUAAACUUAAGCGACCGCUCCAACAUUGUGUUUUUUUAAAACUGAUGAAGGUUGCGGCAAUAACAGGUCUGUGAUGC
rnacentral:rRNA from 1 species